GCUCCCCACCACCACCACCGAGCCGCCCACCACCACCAGGAGGUACAGGGGGAUCAGUCGUCUGCGACCGACCCGGCGCCGCCGACCAGUGGUGACCUUCCCGCCGUACCGACCCCGACCCAAACCUGAGCAAGACGUGGUGCGGGACUCACCGAUCCAGAUCCCGGGCCUGGGUGGCGCGCCGGAGGACCAGUUCUACGGCAAUUUCGGCGACAGAAUCCCGACGGAUUCCAACGAAAUACGACGAAGAUUGGACCGUGUCGACGCGAGCGGUUCGGAGACGUACCAGGUGCCGUCUGUGCUGCCACCGCCGCCGCCGGCGCCGCCGCGCAACCAGCCGCCCGAGGACCGCGUCAACUACGGCUAUCAUCCAAUCAUUGACUUCUUUGGGAAGUAGCUGACCAAUCGGAUGUCGACACGUCGAUUUGAGGUUAUUAGUGCUAAGAAAAAAUCCAAUGAGGGGGUGCUGCAAGGGCUGAUGGCCAAUGGAAAGAGCCGGUUUUAGAAAGUCACCCAAUCGGUGAUGUAUGCGGUCGACAGCGACCAAUCAGAGAAGUCUGCGUAGGUCGGGUGACCAGUCAGCGACAAGAGAUGACUUGAAAGUCACUUGUAUGACGUGAAGGAGACGGACGAGGUCGGUCGAUCGGACGUUGUAGCUUUCUGGGCAGGCCGUGGCCCGUCGGAGGUGGACAGCAGCGCGAUACUCAACCUCAGCUGAUGUACCAACAUGGCGUCAGCAACGCCAACGUCACGUGGCUUAUUCCGCACGUGUCGGUGUCAGGCAGUUAGGUUAAUGCGACCUCUAACCAAGCGUCCCAAACGUGAGAAAUCAAACAAACAGGCGGGGCGGGAGAUGGUAGGUAGAUGAGUUAGAACAAAAAGGUGUUUUCCCGGAGUGGUUUGUUGCUGUUUUCGAUACUGCCGAGUCUUGCAACGGUUGUGCGACCACGUGACUGACGUAGGCGCCGAGGAGUCUCGCUAUUGCCGUCCAGGGUGUAGGUAUGCAUUACUAGCAUAUGCAUAGAGCCUCUUGACUUCGAGGAUGCGCCCGGUUCGCAGGCGCAUAGUGAAGACGCUGUUUUAUUACCAUUUUUACCUGUGUGAGGGUGUGGCAUGUAAGGGAAGUUUGAGAAUGAUGGGCAGGAUCACCAGGAUGGCGUUCAUCUGAUCGGAGGUGCGGAUUCCGUCCUGCAGUGCGUCUUCCACGCCGGUGACUAGUUUCGGCACGUUCCCAUCGUUGGUUACGUGUAGUCGAGCGUGUUAUCGAGCGGCUGGGCGCCGCGCCCCCCCCCCCCUCCCCCAUUGGGCUGAGGUCGCCAGAUGAUAUUCCAAGACAUUGUGUGAAGCGGCCCGCCUGACUCACUUCUGCGUUGAGCUCCCGAACGCAGCGCGUCCGUUCGAACGUUGUCGCUGUUGGAGACAGUUGAAUGCAUUCCGUGUACCUGGUGAACGGCCGGAUCCUGCGCGCGGGUCACCACCCGGCCCGGGGUGGUGUCCGGGUCGAGCUGGUGCUGUUCUCUGCCCGAGAGUGAAGCGCGGUUGGAACUGAGUGGCAUGCGGAGUUGGAAUCGUGUUUCGAACCGCGGUGUAUGGGCGAUUCCGGAAUCCGUUCUCUACGCGUCGGCUGUUGUUUGUAAAUUAAAGUACGGAACUUCUGAAGCGGUUUUUGACACGUUACGUGCGCUGUCGACUGUAUGACGACGACGCGUACCGAGAGUAUGCGUCAGGUAUGGUCAGGAGUACCGAGAAAUGUGCGAGUUAUCUGUUACAAUGGUAGAUAGCACAUUUGUUUUGAAUAUAUUGUUUCGUACCAAUC